UACAGAGGGUGCAAGCGUUAAUCGGAUUUACUGGGCGUAAAGCGCGCGUAGGCGGAUCAUCAAGUCGGGUGUGAAAGCCCUCGGCUCAACCGAGGAAGUGCGCCCGAAACUGCAGAGCUUGAGUACCGGAGAGGAUGGCGGAAUUCCCCAAGUAGAGGUGAAAUUCGUAGAUAUGGGGAGGAACACCGGUGGCGAAGGCGGCCAUCUGGACGGAUACUGACGCUGAGACGCGAAAGCGUGGGUAGCAAACAGG
rnacentral:rRNA from 1 species